AUUCUGGAUCUUUUGAGAUCCACACAUAAAACUAAUAACGUCUAAG
rfam:Buceros rhinoceros silvestris contig96337, whole genome shotgun sequence.